CCCUUAGAUGUUCUGGGCCGCACGCGUGCUACACUGAGUGGAUCAGCGGGCCAGGUUGCGCGAAAGUGUUUCCUAAUCUUGAAAUCCGCUCGUGAUGGGGAUUGACGGUUGCAAUUUUCCGUCAUGAACGAGGAAUACCUUGUAAGCGCGGGUCAUCAUCCCGCGCUGAAUACGUCCCUGCCCUUUGUACACACCGCCCGUCGCUCCUACCGAUUGAGUGGUCCGGUGAGGCUUUGGGAUCUGAGCAAAAAGAGCGUUUCGCUCGUUUGGCUCGGAAAACUCAGUCGAACCUUAUCAUUUAGAGGAAGGAGAAGUCGUAACA
rnacentral:rRNA from 1 species